GAGGCCGAGCCGAGGCGCCCCCCAGCGGCCGGCGCGGGCCCCAUGGCUGGGCCGGGCGGAGCGGAACCGGCGAGGUGAAGCCCCCGGGCCGGUGGCCGUAGCGCGUGGCUGGGGCGCCGGCUCCAUGGGCAGCAGCGCACAGCGGCACGAUGAUGGACGUUAACAGCAGCGGCCGCCCGGACCUCUACGGGCACCUCCGCUCUUUGCUCCUGCCGGAGGUGGGGCGCGGGCUGCCGGACCUGAGCCCCGACGGCGCCGGCCCGGUCUCGGGCUCCUGGGCGCCGCACCUGCUGCGCGGGAUCCCGGAGGUGACUGCCAGCCCGGUGCCCACCUGGGACGCGCCGCCGGACAAUGCCUCCGGCUGCGGGGAGCAGAUCAACUACGGCAGAGCCGAGAAAGUUGUGAUCGGCUCCAUCCUGACGCUCAUCACGCUGCUGACGAUCGCCGGCAACUGCCUGGUGGUGAUUUCGGUGUGCUUCGUCAAGAAGCUCCGCCAGCCCUCCAACUACCUGAUCGUGUCCCUGGCGCUGGCCGACCUCUCGGUGGCCGUGGCGGUCAUGCCCUUCGUCAGCGUCACCGACCUGAUCGGGGGCAAGUGGAUCUUUGGCCACUUCUUCUGCAAUGUCUUCAUCGCCAUGGACGUCAUGUGCUGCACGGCCUCUAUCAUGACCCUAUGCGUGAUCAGCAUCGACAGCCAGACGUUGACUGUGGUCGAGCCGCUACAUGAAGAUGGCGCUUCUCUGUGCAGCCUAAGGUACCUUGGGAUCACGAGGCCACUCACGUACCCGGUGAGGCAGAAUGGGAAGUGCAUGGCGAAAAUGAUUCUCUCCGUCUGGCUGCUUUCGGCCUCCAUCACGUUACCCCCGCUCUUCGGCUGGGCCCAGAACGUAAACGACGACAAGGUGUGCUUGAUCAGCCAGGAUUUCGGCUACACCAUCUACUCCACGGCAGUGGCGUUUUACAUCCCCAUGUCCGUCAUGCUGUUCAUGUACUACCAGAUUUACAAGGCCGCCAGGAAGAGCGCCGCCAAGCACAAGUUCCCCGGCUUCCCCCGGCCCGAGGAGCCAGACAGCAUCAUCUCCCUGAACGGCAUGGUGAAGCUCCAGAAGGAGGUGGAGGAGUGUGCCAACCUUUCGAGACUCCUCAAGCACGAAAGGAAAAACAUCUCCAUCUUCAAGCGGGAGCAGAAAGCAGCCACCACCUUGGGGAUCAUCGUCGGGGCCUUCACCGUGUGCUGGCUGCCCUUUUUCCUCCUCUCGACCGCCAGACCCUUCAUCUGCGGCACGGCCUGCAGCUGCAUCCCGCUGUGGGUGGAGAGGACAUUUCUGUGGCUGGGCUAUGCAAACUCUCUCAUUAACCCUUUUAUAUAUGCCUUCUUCAACCGGGACCUGAGGACCACCUACCGCAGCCUGCUCCAGUGUCAGUACCGGAAUAUCAACCGCAAGCUGUCGGCCGCAGGCAUGCACGAGGCCCUGAAGCUCGCCGAGAGGCCCGAGAGACCUGAGCUUGUGCUGUAAGGUCACCUAUCACUAUUUUCCUUUUAUCCCCCACGCCCCUACUAUGGAACCUCUUAGAGCAUAUCCCAGAGGGCUUUCUGAAUCCGUAGCCAGCUUAUUUUCUACUAAGCAGAUCAGAUUCGAAUUCAGGAUACUCUAGACUCCGGUCCUCCAGCCCACAGAGUUCCCAAAGCCCAAGUCAGGCACUUAGAGGGCCUGGAAGACGGGACUGAUGUGUUGAGGAAUUGCACUUGGUGUAAUGGACAAGGAAGGUGAUGUUUCCCACCCUUUUCCCAUAAACAACAUCCGAGUCGUGUCCCACAGCUCCCAUUCUUGUGACACUGUUGUUUUCGUUGCAGUUAACUCUUACAUACAGUCAAGCUUUCUUGAUGCCCUUGUCCUUUGCUGAUAAAGUCAUUUGAAAAAGGGAGCAGAUUCCCAGGGGCUAAAAGGAAGCAGCCUGGGAUAAAGGAGAGCAGAUAGAAUGGGCACAUGCCAGGAUGAGGCAAGUCCUGAAGCUGCAGAGCUUUGAGGAAGCGCUGUCCACCGUUGGAGGAGAGAACCCGUGGUUACCGAGUCUGUCUGGGAGGCCCCUGCCUUUCCCUGAAGCAAUUGCGACAAAACUCUGACUACUGUAGAAAAAAAAGUCAUGAUUCAUGAUCAAAAGUGGAAUAAUGGAAACGAAAUCACCAAGGCAAGACAGAGGCGGAAACAGAACUCAACCAUUUGCUGAGGCCGCGGAAUGGAGUGCGGCUUGUCCUUUCCCGGGGUGGAGGAGACGUGACAAGCAGAGUGAUGUGUUGUACAAAGCAUGUGGUGAGGGAGAUGGUGACCUCUCGUCUUUUUCUGUGGAUCAGUGCUGUUGUGUGCCAAGGAGAAGAGUUUUCCGUGUAAGACAGUAGAUCAGCUCAGCAGUAAGCACACAAACAGAACUGAGUCCCAGAAAGGAAACCGUUUCUGGUGCUUUGCGUACGUCCAAGCCCCUACAAAUGGAAGAAAGUUCCAGUGCACACCCCCCAUGCUUCCAAGUCUAGGCAUUGUGGUGAAUAUUCAGGAAUCAUUCACGAGACAGAAUGUAUUUUGUGGCAGGACAGAAGGGUGUUUUUCCAAGCAAACUGUGGUAAGCGUAGUGUUGAAUGUGUUGCAUGUCCGUGUUAGAAAACAGAAUCCCGUCAUCAGCUAAUACAAAUGAUGUCCCAGAGCAGUGUCUGGUUACAGCUUCUGUCAAAUAGUUUUGCUUUUUUGCAGGAUCCCUGUGACUUCCCCACCAACGUAUCUUUCUUUGUGAACUCGUGUUUUGUUUUGGUAUAACUCAGGAACAGAUCUCAGGAUGGAGAGAACCGUAAAACCUGAAUAAAGCUUUUUCUUGCACUCACACUCUUCUGAAGGGUCCUGAGAGAUAAGGGGGAUUCCUUCAGUGAGGCUUUGUACCUGGAUGCAGAGCGGGCACUACGGAACUGUGCUGGGUACCAGCGUGGUGGUGGGCACAGAGCCUGUGGCUGUCGUGUUCACACAGAUGCGCCGGGCUCCCGGGCUGGGCAGUACCUGGGUGUCUUUGGGGAGGAAGUGCGGGAGUAAGAGGGUUUCCAUGGAGGUUGUGAUGCUUUCAGAGACAGAGCAUCAACGUGUUAACUCUUGGGCAGUGCUGUAUUAAAGGGAAUUGUGUGCCUCGGAGCUCACCUGGGCGGCUACAGGGAAACACUCAGAACACCAUCCUCUUCCUUCAGGAGGAUUUGUUUUCGUGUUCUCUGUAACCUAAAUCCAAUGUACGCCUGGCCAAUUCUGUUCUUCUUCCCUCUCCCUCCCCAAAGUGGUAGACAUUAGGGCAGGUGAGGAACCAGAAAAGGUCCCUUUGCAGAUUGUUUGUUUGUUUGUUUUUUUAAUGUACAAGUAAUAUGUAAUGAGACAGGAAGUUGGUGGAUGGGAAGAGUACCUCCAAGGGGAGAAAGUGAACGCAAAGCUUCGUUUGAUAAAAGAGAACUGACAGAGAAAAUUAUUUUCCUACAAGAAAUGUAGCUGUUCUCUUCCAGGAGAAUGUGGAAUUCCAACGCAGAUUAUGGAUUUCUUCUGCUUUCACUGACCUUGCAUCUCACCAGACACAAGGAAGGGUCUGGAGGGGAGGUGGGCGCUGUCCUUCCAGACAAAGCUUGUAUAAAUUCCUGAACCAUGGAUUUGCUAAAGUGACUGUAUAUACUUAUAUUCAUAAUUUAAAUGAUUAAUUCUGGUCAGAUAAAUGUUGUUAAAUUUGAAAAUGUUUUAUUAUAUUACAUCAAAUAAAGUUUAUUUGUAGCUGUAAUAAAGCAACUUAAGUAAUGAUUUUUAAUUGAAGGUCUGCUGUCAUGAAUAUUGCUCUACGUAGAAUAGCAGGAGGCCAAGUUUUGUUAUGUUUUCCUAAAAUCCUAAAAGGUAGUUAAAACCGUCUCAAAUUCACUGCACUUCACUGUGAGGAUUUAUCCAGUUUGUAACUUUAAAAAAAAAUUUUUUUUUAAGAAUGACUGUUCAUUCCUUCACUUGAUUAGUGGGCAUUUACUGGGCUUCUGCCACAUUCAGCACUGUGGACAUCGAGGGAACAAAGAUGGGUAAAGCAAGUCCUUACUUUGGAGAGGCGUGGCAUUGGAGAGAAGGCGGACAUUUCUCAGAUGGCCACCCUGUCUUUUAGUGAAUGGGGGCUGCUGCGGGGGCUGGACAGUGGGCGCCCGGCUUUACGAGCAUGGCAGCUGAAUGGAAGGAGAAAGUAGAAGCUGAGAGAGAAUGAGAGAGCUCUCAAACACUUUCUACUAUUUCACACAUGACAGAAUUUGUGCCAAAGGUACAGCUUUUGUUUUAACCCAGAAUUGGGGAAAUCACGGAAAGGAACUCUUCACACAUAUUUUAUGACUGUUCAGCAAGAAAGGCUGUGAUGAUGACUCAUCUCUCUUCUCACUCAGGGGUGUCAGCUGUCAGCCUGCAAGGCUGGGUGUUGGGAAAUGGUGCUUAGGGAAGAGUACUUGUAAGCUGUCAUUUAAUGACGGUUCCCUUAGUGUUUGGCUUUACUGUGUAAAUAUCAAGCAGGGGCACUCAUGGAGUUCCUAAGUUUUCUGGAAACGGUUUCGUCAUUCUUAAAGCCUUUGCCACAGUGUCAUGUGUUUGAGAUGCUUGUAUACGUUUUCAGUGAUCAUCUUUUCAUGCGGUUUCAUUAGAUUCAUUGAUUAUAUAGGCAUAAUAUCAACGAUAUGGAUAGAAGGUGCAGUUUUUCAGAUCUUUUAUGCUAAUAUGAUGAUUGCUUGGAUUGCCCUCUGGAGGUGGCAGGCAUUUUCCUUGCAGCAUUUUGACUCUCAACUGAGUCCUCCAUUUAAGGGAUAGAAAUGUUUACAAGAUCCUGCAUUUUUUCAACAGUCUAUGUUUCCUAUCUCAGGACC